AACUUACAAUUUCAAUUAAUUAUAGUCGAAUUUCGGCUACUGCGGGACCACUAGUAAAAGUAAAUAGACGAUGUUCCAUUUUAGAAUCAACUUUUUUUUCCAUUUUGAACAAUAUUAAAAUACGGUCAUGUAGAAAAUGCCUGCCUGCUAUGUUGAAAUGAAUUCAUUUAUUAGGUAAUACGUACAUUUUUACUGGUCCCAAAAUUAAACUAGAUAAGUUUACAUGUGGCUAGUGUGUCAUUUGUAUAUUCUAAUAUUUUAUGCGGAUUUUUAAUUCAAUGCUGAAUUGUUAACUGUGAAACUUCCUAUGACUUUAAAUUCAAUGCAUAACUGGCUUUAAAAAAUGAGAGAGCAAUUUAAAUUACUGGUGGUAGGACCUCUUGUGAGUCCGCACGGGUAGGUACCACCACCCUGCCUUUUUCUGCCGUGAAGCAGUAAUGCGUUUCGGUUUGAAGGGUGGGGCAGCCGUUGUAAAUAUAUUGAGACCUCAGAACUUAUAUCUCAAGGUGUGUGGUGCAUUUACGUUGUAGAUGUCUAUGGGCUCCAGUAACCACUUAAUACCAGGUGGGCUGUGAGCUCUUCCACCUAUCUAAGCAAUAAAAAAAAAUUCAAUGCAUACCUGGCUUUCAAAAACGAGAAAGCAAUAUUUACCAAAAAAUCAAAGCGAUCAUUAAUUUUUAAAUUUGUCAGAUGAAAUCGAGAAGCCGUUAUCAAGAGUAGAAUUUUUCAUCGCAUAAAUGACACAGCCGUGUACACACACACACACACACUAACACAAUAAAGCAUCACCGGGCAUCGAAUCGCGACGGGGCGGACACGGAAACACGCGUUAAUUACAAGGCCACCGCUCCUAUGCACCAUUGUGGUAAGUCGUCCAUCGGUGACCUGGGGUUCCGUGGGUUGGCGUGUCAAUGCCUCAUCGUACGAUACUUAUAAACGGGAGUUUCAAUUUUUAAAAAAAUCGGUUGUCUGUCGGUUUACUGUAAAGUCGGUUUACUGAUGAAUAGUUGAACGUGACAACGUCAUAAGAAAAUACUGAUGGAAUGGUUUCAUUUUUCAAUUAUCGCAAUUAUCGUUGCUAUAAACAAUUGACACCACAUUCAAUUUUCACUGAACUUCAUACUUGACGAAAACAUGUAAAUGUAUUAUUGUAUAGCAGCUGUCCACGCGGAUGCAUCGCUCACUCAAGUAGGAGAGAGACAGAUGUCGAACGCUGCCGAACGCGGAGGCCGAUUGUGCCUCUUUGUCGCUCGUUGCGCGCUCUCGUUUGCACUUCAAGCCUUAAAUGGAACGCCUCAGAGCGAGGUAACGCCGCAUGAGUCAUGUUUUUUCGUGCGUGUAGCCGGCUCCAUCGAAUUAUAAGACGUUGUCACGUCAAUAGACAUGAAGUGAAGUUCAACAUGUUAAUAAUACUAGUGGUCGCCCAGUAGUCGAAAUUCGACGACAAUUGCUAAUUUAAAUUAUAACUUUGAACAUUAUUAUGGUUUUAUUAUCAAAAAUUUUCCAUCUAUAAUCACAGAUUUCGCCAAGGCUGCACUAUAGACAAAUAAUAUUAAAGACAAACAAUAAUAAACUAUUCUCAAUCUGACCACAGACUAUCAAUAAACCAAAGAGUAUAUGUGCGUCAAAUAUAUGGUAUUGUGUGUAAUGUUUUUAUUUAUUUAUUCCAAGUAUUUUUAUGCAUAAUUUAAAAAAAAAAUAGCGUUCUGCACUCCUUCUCUAUAUUCUCUAUAAGUGUGCGAAAUUUCAUAUUCCUCCUUCCGCGUAAUUUACGUAAAAAGAGUGGCGAGUAUACGAUUCAAUUGUCGGUGAGUUUUGAGGCAUCGACGUACAUCAAACUAAAGCCAUAACUCAGCGGCGUUUCGAGUCUCGUUUGAAAAAUGAUCAGCUAGAGAAGAGAACGAUUGAAUGACUACUGAUGGCCCGGAGGCCUUUCCAGUUUCACCAGGACAGGUGGGCGAGCUGAGGCUCAGCCAAGAGGGGUGGGAUUUGCUAACAGCUGCCCGAGCGCCUCCGAAAGAGACCUAACAACUCAAGAGCAGCUGCUUCACGAAUGAAUCUACUACCAGAUCGGAAUCGCGACCCGCUGAGAAGAUACGGCGAGAAAUUCAGCGGGCUGAUGCAUAGUUACACAGUACUGCUACACAUUUAUGGAAGAGCAAACGCGAAUUUAUUUUCCACUUCGAUCCGGGGACAUGAAAAAUGCCGGUGGAAUUGUGAAAUAAUCUCAAUGUUAUUGUUUAUUAUCUAACUUGGACGUCCGUUUGAUGUUAUGCAUUCGACGGCGUAAAUACGGCCGUCCAACUUGAACCGACAUGGAAGACUCAAUUGGUGGUGAGCUAUAUGAUCGCCGAAGUAGAUGCCUCAAUAGCAAUAGAGAAUCAACUGACUCACCUAUAAAACGCAUGAAAACCGCCUAGUAGAUUUAUUUCAAGAUUUAGAGGGAGAGAUAAGGAAACAAAUUAGUAUACUGACAAUUGAUCAGAGAUGAGUCAAAUGCAAAUAUUACCAGCGUCAGCUUAUAAAAACAGAUAAGCGUGGUCGCGGCUUAUGAACAAUUUUAGAUGAGAUCUCGUAAAUUCGGAUCCAGUUAUCCAUUGUUGUUUUAGAUUCGCACGAGAACUGGCUGGGCACUUCGAAUCGUCCCAAGCACUCGAGGUCCUCGGGCGGCAGCUUGAGGCGGACGACGGCGUCCUCGUGCAGCCAGCGGCCGCGGUCUCGCAACACGCGGCGGACCUGCACGGUGGCGGCGUCGGCGGCCAGCGACUGCACGCGCGCCUCGAAGGCGGCGGGAGCGCGGUAGGCGCGCCAGGCCACGUCGGCUCGCUCGCAGUAGAGGCGGCGCGGCGCAGCCACCGCGCCCACACAGCACACGCACAGCACAGCCCAGCACAACGCCGCGCGCCCGCGGGUCUUCAUCGCGCCAUCGCAGCGCUCGCUCGCUCCUCGCUGCCGACGCACGGUGCGGCUCGGUCGGCGGUCGGCGCGCGACUGCCCUCUCGCCGGCCGCCGCGCUGAUUCACGACCCGCCCGCACCGAAAUACUCGCCGCUCCGAGCAACCAUCGCCCGCAGAAUCCUUCAGUUGCACUACUUCUUACUAAUUAGAAGGGGUGAGAACGACUCGUCCACUCGCACUUGAUAACGAGCUUCUUAGCUACACUCUCCCAGUACUUUUUGUGUCUGGGAAUGUGGACAUUCCAGAGCAGCUGGGAUAGAAAUUGUGAAGAACUUGUGAAUUGCAAAUUAAAAUGACAUUAACGGCUACGUUCGUCUUCACCCCAACAUAAAAAAAAUAUUCAACUAUGUAUUCUAAUUUAGUUAGUCACAGUCAAUCACAAAGUUUAUAGUCACACAUUAAAAUGUAAAAAAAUACAAUUUUAGUUAUGCUUCAAUAGCUUUUCCGAGCACUAUGACUGUCUACUCAUUGUAGCGGCGGUUGGUGACGCCUGGCGCUCCGUAGACGACGUCUACAGAGUGUAGCGCGUAGCCGCGUAGCUGUGACCUCAGACGUAGGCCCACGACCUUGCCAUGCUACGAACUGUACAAUUAUUUCAUAUAGCAAUAAUAUUAUAUAUGUGCCAGUGGAU